rnacentral:antisense_RNA from 1 species
CUUCAGCGACCCGACGAGCAACGGGCGUUCCGCGGGCCGGUCCUGACCGUAUGUCGCGAGGAGCGCCUGGGCCUC